UACGUAGGUGGCGAGCGUUGUCCGGAUUUACUGGGCGUAAAGCGUGCGUAGACGGUUAUUUAAGUCGGGUGUGAAAGCCCCGGGCUCAACCUGGGAAGUUGCAUUCGAGACUGAAUAGCUAGGGUACGGUAGAGGGAAGUGGAAUUUCCGGUGUAGCGGUGAAAUGCGUAGAUAUCGGAAGGAACAUCAGUGGCGAAAGCGACUUCCUGGACCAGUACCGACGUUCAGGCACGAAAGCGUGGGGAGCAA
rnacentral:rRNA from 1 species